UGGCGAGCGGGUGAGUAACACGUGGGUGAUCUGCCCUGCACUUCGGGAUAAGCCUGGGAAACUGGGUCUAAUACCGGAUAGGAGCCAUUUUUAGUGUGAUGGUUGGAAAGUUUUUUCGGUGUAGGAUGAGCUCGCGGCCUAUCAGCUUGUUGGUGGGGUAAUGGCCUACCAAGGCGGCGACGGGUAGCCGGCCUGAGAGGGUGUACGGCCACAUUGGGACUGAGAUACGGCCCAG
rnacentral:rRNA from 1 species